GGGGGGUUUUGGCACCACGACCUUCGGGCGCUUAUUUUUGGGCGCGGCUUUGCCCGCGGCUUAUUUUUGGCGCCCCGAGGCCCCGCGCAAAGUCUCGCCCCAUUCCGAGUCCGGCGGACGAACUUCGCCCGCGCCCCCCACCAAGGCUAUAGCCCACCCGUUUUUUGGCCAUUUUUCCGCUGGGGGGUUUUGGCACCACGACCUUCGGGCGCUUAUUUUUGGGCGCGGCUUUGCCCGCGGCUUAUUUUUGUCGCUCCGAGGCCGCGCGCAAAGUCUCGCCCCAUUCCGAGUCCGGCGGACGAACUUCGCCCGCGCCCCCCACCAAGGGUAUAGCCCACCCGUUUUUUGGCCAUUUUUCCGCUGGGGGGUUUUGGCACCACGACCUUCGGGCGCUUAUUUUUGGGCGCGGCCUUGCCCGCGGCUUAUUUUUGGCACCCCGAGGCCCCUCGCAAAGUCUCGCCCCAUUCCGAGUCCGGCAGACGAACUUCGCCCGCGCCCCCCACCAAGGCUAUAGCCCACCCGUUUUUUGGCCAUUUUUCUGCAGGGGGUUUUUGGCACCACGACCUUCGGGCGCUUAUUUUUGGGCGCGGCGUUGCCCGCGGCUUAUUUUUGGUGCCCCGAGGCCCCUCGCAAAGUCUCGCCCCAUUCCGAGUCCGGCGGACGAACUUCGCCCGCGCCCCCCACCAAGGCUAUAGCCCACCCGUUUUUUGGCCAUUUUUCCGCUGGGGGGUUUUGGCACCACGACCUUCGGGCGCUUACUUUUGGGUGCGGCUUUGCCUGCGGCUUAUUUUUGGCGCCCCGAGACCCCGCGCAAAGUCUCGCCCCAUUCCGAGUCCGGCGGACGAACUUCGCCCGCGCCCCCCACCAAGGCUAUAGCCCACCCGUAUUUUGGCCAUUUUUCCGCUGGGGGGUUUUGGCACCACGACCUUCGGGCGCUUAUUUUUGGGCGCGGCCUUGCCCGCGGCUUAUUUUUGGCACCCCGAGGCCCCUCGCAAAGUCUCGCCCCAUUCCGAGUCCGGCGGACGAACUUCGCCCGCGCCCGCCACCAAGGCUAUAGCCCACCCGUUUUUUGGCCAUUUUUCCGCAGGGGGUUUUUGGCACCACGACCUUCGGGCGCUUAUUUUUGGGUACGGCUUUGCCCGCGGCUUAUUUUUGGUGCCCCGAGGCCCCUCGCAAAGUCUCGCCCCAUUCCGAAUCCGGCGGACGAACUUCGCCCGCGCCCCCCACCAA
rnacentral:lncRNA from 1 species